GUCCAUGCUGUAAACUAUGAGAACUUGCUGUUGGAUGCAUAAAGGCAUUUAGUAGCGAAGCUAACGCGUUAAGUUCUCCGCCUGGGAGUACGGCCGCAAGGCUAAACUCAAAGGAAUUGACGGGGCCCGCACAAGCGGUGGAGCAUGUGGUUUAAUUCGAUGCAACGCGAAGAACCUUACCUACUCUUGAAUCCACGGAAUCUGAUAGAGAUAUCGGAGUGCCUUCGGGAACCGUGAGACAGGUGCUGCAUGGCUGUCGU
rnacentral:rRNA from 1 species